GGCGGCGGUGGCGGCGGCGUGGAAUCCGGCGUGGGCUGGGGGGUCCGAGCCGCGGGGGGCAGUGCCAUGCACAAGCACCAGCACUGCUGUAAGUGCCCUGAGUGCUAUGAGGUGACCCGCCUGGCCGCCCUGCGGCGCCUCGAGCCUCCGGGCUACGGGGACUGGCAAGUCCCCGACCCUUACGGGCCAGGUGGGGGCAACGGCGCCAGCGCGGGUUAUGGGGGCUACAGCUCGCAGACCUUGCCCUCGCAGGCGGGGGCCACCCCCACCCCUCGCACCAAGGCCAAGCUCAUCCCCACCGGCCGGGAUGUGGGGCCGGUGCCUCCUAAGCCAGUCCCGGGCAAGAGCACCCCCAAACUCAACGGCAGCGGACCCAGCUGGUGGCCAGAGUGCACCUGUACCAACCGGGACUGGUAUGAGCAGGUGAAUGGCAGUGAUGGCAUGUUCAAAUAUGAGGAAAUCGUACUUGAGAGGGGCAACUCUGGCCUGGGCUUCAGUAUCGCAGGUGGCAUCGACAAUCCCCAUGUCCCUGAUGACCCUGGCAUCUUUAUUACCAAGAUUAUCCCUGGUGGAGCAGCUGCCAUGGAUGGGAGGCUGGGGGUGAAUGACUGUGUGCUGCGGGUGAAUGAGGUGGACGUGUCGGAGGUGGUACACAGCCGGGCGGUGGAGGCGCUGAAGGAGGCAGGCCCUGUGGUGCGAUUGGUGGUGCGGAGGCGACAGCCUCCACCCGAGACCAUCAUGGAGGUCAACCUGCUCAAAGGGCCCAAAGGCCUGGGUUUCAGCAUUGCUGGGGGUAUUGGCAACCAGCACAUCCCAGGAGACAACAGCAUCUACAUCACCAAGAUCAUUGAGGGGGGUGCUGCUCAGAAGGAUGGACGCCUACAGAUUGGGGACCGGCUGCUGGCGGUGAGACAGACUUCAUGGGGAUGCCCAAAUGGUAGGGUAGGGAGGAGGAGCUCCAGUACCCCUUACUCCGCCUAAACCUCACUCAGGGAUGAGGCAUCAUGGGGGAAUUUCAAGAGUUAUCAUCUGUGUUGUGUUUGCCCAGAUACAAAGGCCCUAAUUCUUUCUGUGGCCAGGGUCUUGCCCUAUCCCCUACCUCCUGCCUCUGCUCCUCACAGCACUAUACUUGGGCCUCUGUUAGCAUGCUGUUGAAUUUCACUGAAAAGGCAUCCCUCGAGUUCCCUGGAGAAGCCUCUCCUUCUUCCAAGUCCCAGCCUGAGGCCUCUCCUCUUCUAGGUGAACAACACCAAUCUGCAGGAUGUGAGGCACGAGGAAGCUGUGGCCUCACUGAAGAACACAUCUGAUAUGGUGUAUUUGAAGGUGGCCAAGCCAGGCAGCCUCCACCUCAACGACAUGUACGCUCCCCCUGACUACGCCAGCACUUUUACUGCCUUGGCUGACAACCACAUAAGCCAUAAUUCCAGCCUGGGUUAUCUCGGGGCUGUGGAGAGCAAGGUCAGCUACCCUGCUCCUCCUCAGGUUCCCCCCACCCGCUACUCUCCUAUUCCCAGGCACAUGCUGGCUGAGGAGGACUUCACCAGAGAGCCUCGCAAGAUCAUCCUGCACAAAGGCUCCACAGGCCUGGGCUUCAACAUCGUAGGAGGAGAGGAUGGAGAAGGCAUUUUUGUCUCCUUCAUCCUGGCAGGAGGCCCAGCUGACCUGAGUGGGGAGCUGCGCAGGGGAGACCGGAUCUUAUCGGUGAAUGGAGUGAAUCUGAGGAAUGCAACUCAUGAGCAGGCUGCAGCUGCUCUGAAACGGGCCGGCCAGUCAGUCACCAUUGUAGCCCAGUACAGACCUGAAGAAUACAGUCGCUUUGAAUCGAAGAUACAUGACUUACGAGAACAAAUGAUGAACAGCAGCAUGAGCUCUGGGUCUGGGUCCCUCCGAACAAGUGAAAAGAGGUCCUUGUAUGUCAGGGCCCUGUUUGAUUAUGAUCGGACUCGGGACAGCUGCCUGCCAAGCCAGGGGCUCAGCUUCUCUUAUGGUGACAUUCUGCAUGUCAUUAAUGCCUCUGAUGAUGAGUGGUGGCAGGCAAGGCUGGUGACCCCACACGGAGAAAGUGAGCAGAUCGGUGUGAUCCCCAGUAAGAAGAGGGUGGAAAAGAAAGAAAGAGCUCGAUUGAAAACUGUGAAGUUCCAUGCCAGGACGGGGAUGAUUGAGUCUAACAGGUCGAUCAAAACGAAACGUAAAAAGAGUUUCCGCCUCUCUCGAAAGUUUCCAUUUUACAAGAGCAAAGAAAACAUGGCCCAGGAGAGCAGCAUACAGGAACAGGGAGUGACAUCCAACACCAGUGACAGCGAAAGCAGUUCCAAAGGACAAGAGGAUGCUAUUUUGUCAUAUGAGCCAGUGACACGGCAAGAAAUUCACUAUGCAAGGCCUGUGAUCAUCCUGGGCCCAAUGAAGGACCGAGUCAAUGAUGACCUGAUCUCCGAAUUUCCACAUAAAUUUGGAUCCUGUGUGCCACAUACUACCCGGCCUCGACGUGAUAAUGAGGUGGAUGGACAAGACUACCACUUUGUGGUGUCCCGAGAACAAAUGGAGAAAGAUAUUCAGGACAACAAGUUCAUUGAGGCGGGCCAAUUUAAUGAUAACCUCUAUGGGACCAGCAUCCAGUCAGUGCGGGCAGUUGCAGAGAGGGGCAAGCACUGCAUCUUAGAUGUUUCCGGCAAUGCUAUCAAGAGACUGCAGCAAGCACAACUUUACCCCAUUGCCAUUUUCAUCAAGCCCAAGUCCAUUGAAGCCCUUAUGGAAAUGAACCGAAGGCAGACAUAUGAACAAGCAAAUAAGAUCUAUGACAAAGCCAUGAAACUGGAGCAGGAAUUUGGAGAGUACUUUACGGCCAUUGUACAGGGUGACUCACUGGAAGAGAUUUAUAACAAAAUCAAACAAAUCAUUGAGGACCAGUCUGGGCACUACAUUUGGGUCCCAUCCCCUGAAAAACUCUGAAGAAUCCCCUCCAACCAUUCUCUUGUGAACAGAAGAAAUCAAGUCCCUCUUCCCUCCUCCCUCUUCAUUCCUGUCCCCAUGGGGAGAACAAAUGCUACUGUUCUUGUCCCCUUUUUUAGAUAUGUCAAAAAAAAUUAAGUUUUCUAGUCCUGUUCUUUUUUUUUUAAGUUUUUGUUUGUUUCAGUUUAUUUUUUGGGAUGAUGCCAUCUCAUUCAUCAUGUGACUGUGCCCAUUCCUGCAUGGACCUUUCCCAAGCGCUAGCACAGGUGCAAAAUCCAUCAGAGCCAUUGUUUUCAUAAAAACCAAGCAGAAGUGAAGAGAAAAGAGGAGGACUGAUGGAAAGACAGACUCUGGACAGCUGCACGGCUUGUGAAGUGAGCUAAAUGCACCACAUGAUGAGAUGCUCCUGGGCAUUUCUCCCUAUCUGUACUGCUGUCUUGCAGCUCUGAACGGUGCAACGUAAUGGCGACAGAAAGUAUCUUAUUUAUAUAUAGAUAUAUAUAUGUAAUUUAUAUAAAAUAUAUAGAAAUUAUUAUAUAUAUAUAUUAUACACUCUCAUAUAAUAUAUAUAUAUUCACACACAUUUGGGUUAGAAAAUCUAUGGAGACUUCAUCAAUGGUACUAUGUUAUUAGAGAAAUGCUUUAAUUUUCAUAUUCCAAUCAGAUGGCAUCUUCUAUCCCAGCUGGUUGGGAAGGGAUUGAAGAUGGUAGCAAGUGCUGCACUAAGGGCACUCGCAUUUGGUCAUUCUCUUGAGAGCUAGGAGGGGUCAGCCUGAGGCCGGAGAGGAAGGGCUUUUGCCUGGGGUGAGAGGGUGAGAGACUUGACCUGAAAGCAGCUGCUGCCCCUGAGGUGCAGCCAGAGUCCUGUGUGCGGACAGAGAGAAUGGCUAAUGAUGCUCCGCGUGGAAUUGCCUAUUGUUUUAUGCCACCUGAUGUGUCUGCAUGAGAGGUUUCCUUUUUGUUCCUUUUUAAGCUGCUGUUAAACCAAAACCAUGUUGUGCUACUGUGUCAGCCUUUUCAUUAUUGCAAAUUUUACUUUUACUAUUUAAGUGAAUGCAUAGAAUCCAAUUUGCCAAGGUUCUAAAGGCUUAUGAGGUCCUGAAGGAGCCAGGCCUUGUGAUGGAGUAGGUGACACAGGCCUGGUUGUCCUGUCAGCAGAAGGGAAAGCAGGGGCUGGGCUGAGAGGAGGACACGGAGGGCUCUGCUGAGGUUCCUUCCUGGGUUCCACCAACAGGGACAGGGAGUCACUUGCCUUCCAGUUCUGUGCUGGGAUGGCGGGACAGCACUUGGCUUGCUUGGCCAGCUGCGUCAUGAGUUUGAUUUGGUUUUUUUUUUUUGCAGCUGCUUCAUAUGCUCUGCUCCAGCCCCUCCCCAACAGCUGGUAGCUUAUGGUUUCUUCAAGAGGAAAGUAGACUUUAUGCUGUACAUUUGAGCUGUAGAGCUAAGAUUCGCUUACUGGUGAGCUGUGAAAUCUUGUUGCUUUUUCCCAGAGUCUGAUGGCAGUGACUGUGGUCAAGGGAAUCUUCACCGCCACAAGUGCAGGCAGCAGGUGUGGUUCAGGUCCCCCCCCACCCCACUGUGCUCCUUUGAAGCCAACGUGCCUCCCUCGCCUCCAUACUGGAGGGACGACGCAGGGGAGAACAGAGAAGUGCUUGGCCCUAGGAUUGAGGCAC
rnacentral:sRNA from 1 species